rfam:Oryza sativa (indica cultivar-group) chromosome 10, whole genome shotgun sequence.
UAUAAAAGAUUUUGAGUUUUCGCUUGCACUGUUUGACCACUCGUCUUAUUUAAAAAAAUUUUAGAUUUAUUAUUUUUUUGACAUACUUUAUUAUCCAAAGUACUUUAAGCAUAAUUUUUCAUUUUUUAUAUUUGCACAAAUCUUUUGAAUAAGACGAGUGGUCAAACAGCGCAAGCAAAAACUCAAAAUCCCUUAUA